GUGCCGUGAGGUGUUGGGUUAAGUCCCGCAACGAGCGCAACCCUUGUCCUUAGUUGCCCCCGGGUAAUGCUGUGGCACUCUAAGGAAACUGCCCGUGUUAAGCGGGAGGAAGGUGGGGACGACGUCAAGUCAUCAUGGCCUUUAUAUCCAGGGCUACACACGUGCUACAAUGGAUGGUACAGAGAGUUGCGAGUUCGUGAGAAGGAGCUAAUCUCAAAAAACCAUCCUCAGUUCGGAUCGAAGUCUGCAACUCGACUUCGUGAAGCUGGAAUCGCUAGUAAUCGCGGAUCAGCAUGCCGCGGUGAAUACGUUCCCGGGCCU
rnacentral:rRNA from 1 species